CUUCACUGAUUCUCUGGAGUUUUGUGGACACACGAGGGGAGACGGGGAGAGGAGCACUGAAGGGACUUGCACUGUGGAUAACUGUGGAUUGGUUUUGGCUUCACUGUAAAUAAAGACACUGUUCAACUUAAACGAGAGGACAGCGAACUGGAUGAAAGUGACAGCGAGUACGAGAGGAUCCCAGAGUCAGGCCUGAGGAACAGUUAGGAGAUCAGGGGUCAGUUAAAGGUUAUCAAUAUCUGAUGUGUGUAGGUAAUCAAUAGUGUGUGUGUGUGUGUGUGUGUGUGUGUGUGUGUGUGUGUGUGUGUGUGUGUGUGUGUGUGUGUGUGUUUUGUUUGUUUGUUUUUGUUUGUUUUGUUUUGUUUUUUUUUAAGGUCAGCAACAGUAUUCACCCUCUGUCUGAAUCUUUGAGAUGAUUAAACUUAAUCCAAGUCUGGUGUGACUUUUGAGAA